UUAAUUGAAACCAAAAAGAGGUAUAUCACUGUUAAUGAUAUCAUUGAAUAACUUAAUAUUCCAAUUAAG
rnacentral:tRNA from 1 species